GCAACCAAGGCACUCAGAGAGGCAACAGCAGCACAGGGACCAAUCCUGCUCCUCAGUUCAUUUCUGUUUGUGACAAUGGCAUCACUGGAACUGUGGGUUAUGUCAUAGGAGAUAUGAGUCAUCAGAGAGAGUUUGGAAAAGAAUUCCAAGACCUCCAAAUCCAACCUUUGAUCUGAGUCAUCAGAGAGAGUUUGGAAAAGAAUUCCAAGACCUCCAAAUCCAACCUUUGAUCUGAGUCAUCAGAGAAAGGUGUCUGGGGAAAGAGGCUGAACCCCACCUGGCUACAGCCUUGGAACAUGUAGAUGUGGAGUCCAGGUCAGCCUUCCUGAGGCAUCAGAUGGAGGAAUAAAACACCAAGGUACCCACAAGCAGAUAUAGCAAAAAAUUGUGAAGAAGGAAAAUAACCUGGAUCCAUCCUCCCUUAACUCCAGCUCUGCUCAGACACCCGUGAGUCACCCCAGCAUUUUUAGCUCCUUACAUAACUACUGCCAAAAGGGAAGGUGUUCCAGCAGAGCUGCCAACACAAAUGCCCAGGGACCAGCUCUGCACCCCGUGGGAUGAGUAAGCACCGGCUGCAGCACGAGCAGGGAGCAUCUCUCACAC